UACGUAGGUGGCAAGCGUUGUCCGGAAUUAUUGGGCGUAAAGCGCGCGCAGGCGGUCCUUUAAGUCUGAUGUGAAAGCCCACGGCUCAACCGUGGAGGGUCAUUGGAAACUGGGGGACUUGAGUGCAGAAGAGGAAAGCGGAAUUCCACGUGUAGCGGUGAAAUGCGUAGAGAUGUGGAGGAACACCAGUGGCGAAGGCGGCUUUCUGGUCUGUUCUUGACGCUGAGGCGCGAAAGCUAGGGUAGCAAACGGG
rnacentral:rRNA from 1 species